rnacentral:tRNA from 1 species
GAAGGUAUAGCUCAAUGGUACAGCGCAACACUUAGCCUGCAUGAGGUCCUGGGUUCAAUCCCCAGUUCCUCCA